UGGGGAAUUUUCCGCAAUGGGCGAAAGCCUGACGGAGCAAUACCGCGUGAGGGAUGAAAGCCUGUGGGUUGUAAACCUCUUUUCUCAAGGAAGAAAUUUUGACGGUACUUGAGGAAUAAGCAUCGGCUAACUCUGUGCCAGCAGCCGCGGUAAUACAGAGGAUGCAAGCGUUAUCCGGAAUCACUGGGCAUAAAGCGUCUGUAGGUUGCCUAGCAAGUCUGCUGUUAAAGAUCAGGGCCUAACCCUGGGAAAGCAGUGGAAACUACUAGGCUUGAGUGUGGUAGAGGUAGAGGGAAUUCCUGGUGUAGCGGUGAAAUGCGUAGAUAUUAGGAAGAACACCAAUGGCGAAAGCACUCUACUGGGCCACAACUGACACUAAGAGACGACAGCUAGGGGAGCA
rnacentral:rRNA from 1 species